rnacentral:lncRNA from 1 species
GACCGACUCCGGAGCUUUUUCUGCUGUCAAGAUUUGCUCUGAUAGGAUAUGGGUAUAACUGUCCCUCCGACCUGAGACCGCCACGGUGACUUGCAAGCAACUCACUGCACUUAGGCACUGGACUACCUGAAUUUCUAAUUCAGUGACGGAAGGCUGCUGGGUGUAGUCAAGUACUUGACUUGUCGGUGUGUGUGUCAAGAUGGGAUUGACCACUCCAGUUC